rnacentral:lncRNA from 1 species
UACAUUUAGCAUCAAAUUCAGAAAUGCAGUAUGUUGUGGGAAUAGAUGUUAUAUUGCAAGACUGUGUUUCUGCUGUUUUACUCUAGAUUAUUUUAUCUUAUAAAAAAUGUUUGUAUGUAAAAUUGUCGUAUAAUCACACUAUGAGAUAGUUUCAAGUGUUCCAUUCUCUUGGUAUUGUCAGAAGGUUAUAGUGUUCAAGAAGAAUGGUGGAAUGCUGGCUCUAAUUCAAUGUUCAGGUAAGAGCCAACAAUUGUAAUCCUCACUGUAUUAUGAAUGAUCUGUAAGAUAUAUUAAUGAUACGUCCGUUAAUAGAUCGAUGUAACCUGAUAUGGAUGCACCCAGGCUAUAAUUUAUUCACUCAACACAGAGUUAAUUUCUGAUGAGCCAACUUUAUAGGUGAUACUGGUCCCUGUGAACAACUUAUUUUCUUCGAGUCAGCAAGUCAUGUGGGCCGCUGAACUACAUUCUGAUCAAGCACUAUGUAGUAUUCUAAUCAAGCAAUAUGUAGUAUUCUUGGGUAGAAUUGUUUCUAUAGUGAUUAGUGAACCUUAUCCUCACAACGUCAAAAAAAUGAUAGGGUGCACUAGCAUCUGUUCUUCUGAGGUUCUACUGGUUUUCAUGUCGUGUUGGUUCUGUUCCAUUUGAGUGGCAAGUAGUUACAUGGGAAGCACUGUAUUUCUCAUGGGGUAUUCAUCUAACGAAAGGUUGCUGCUCCAGUCAAGAUUUUUCGACUUCAUAUUUUGUUACCAAAAUUCCAUGAUUAUGCCUUACUAAAGUUUUAUUUUUGUUGUUUCUUCUUGCAACUUUGCAUUAUCAAAUAAAUUUUCUGAUAGUAUCUCCCUCCCAUUAUCUAUGCAGUAGUGACGAUCAUUUUGUUGAAUCCGCUGAACUUGAUGCCACUGAAAUGACAAGUCUCAGCACACUCUGGACCUGUUUAAUGAUAAUUGAUAAAAAAUACUCCCUCCGUUCCAUAUUAAGUGUCGCUGAUUUAGUACAACUUUGUAUGGAACGGCGAGAGUACUUCCUUAUUGGCUAAUUUCAUCCAUGCUUCAUGGCACUCUGUGCUUUACUUGCAGUGGUCACAAAGGCAUGAGAACAAGACAAGCAGCAUUAGUAAAUUGAUUCACUGCCAAGAAGUCUUAUUCACAGGAGCUAUUUGUUGUAAGUGGCGGGCGUAACACAACCCACCCUAAUCUCUUUCAGUGUCACGGUCUAUGAAUUGGUCCAUGAAUUAGAGUACGUAAAGCCAGCCCUCUAGUCUAUAGACACAAGCGUGUUAAGGUUGCUAAUACUGCAAACAUUCCACAUGGCAAUUGUUUCAAUAGGAGAAAAGGAGGUCCUCUUUGUUGUGUUAGAAGGCUCUUGCCUCAGAGGAAUGUUUGCAGGUCACCAUGUCUUGUUCAGUCGAGCAAUUGUGAUUGUUGAUGUUCAGUUCUUUUGGAUCCAAUCCAUGCUGAAUGUGCUGUCCCGCAGGUAUAUUUCUGUUAUAGUUGCCUGUUAACCGCAUUACGCUAGGCGAGCUCUUCACAAAUGAUGGUAUUAAGUAUGGAUUGUGGGUUAAGCUCGCUAGGAGUUCCUAUGAUUCUAAUUCUGUAAUUUCUUGGGAGGGUGAUCCUCCGCAGAUUAUCCUAGCUGAACUUGUUAGUGAUGUAACAGAUAUUUCAUUUGAUUGAAUAAAGUGUGCC